rnacentral:rRNA from 1 species
UACGUAGGGUGCAAGCGUUAAUCGGAAUUACUGGGCGUAAAGCGUGCGCAGGCGGUUUUGUAAGUCUGACGUGAAAUCCCCGGGCUCAACCUGGGAAUUGCGUUGGAGACUGCAAGGCUGGAGUCUGGCAGAGGGAGGUAGAAUUCCACGUGUAGCGGGUGAAAUGCGUAGAUAUGUGGGAGGAAUACCGGUGGCGAAGGCGGCCUCCUGGCUUAAUACUGACGCUGGAG